UACGAAGGGGGCUAGCGUUGCUCGGAAUCACUGGGCGUAAAGGGUGCGUAGGCGGGUCUUUUAAGUCAGGGGGUGAAAUCCUGGAGCUCAACUCCAGAACUGCCUUUGAUACUGAAGAUCUUGAGUUCGGGAGAGGUGAGUGGAACUGCGAGUGUAGAGGUGAAAUUCGUAGAUAUUCGCAAGAACACCAGUGGCGAAGGCGGCUCACUGGCCCGAUACUGACGCUGAUGCACGAAAGCGUGGGGGAGCAAACAGG
rnacentral:rRNA from 1 species